GGCCCAAAGGGUAGUUUUAGACAAAAUAAAAAUAGAAUUUAAAAUUUAUUUAGCGGUUAUAUAUAAAUAUAAAAUGUAAAUCCAAAAACGAAAGUUAUUCUAUUUACUCUCGAACCUACUACAGCUGAGGAACAAACUGGGAUUAGAUACCCCACUAUGCUCAACUUUAAACUGAAUCUCCCGCCAGAGCACUACGAGCCAUAGCUUAAAACUCAAAGGACUUGGCGGUGCUCUACACCCACCUAGAGGAGCCUGUUCUAUAAUCGACACCCCCCGAUAAACCUCACCACCUCUUGCUAUUACAGCCUAUAUACCACCGUCCAGUUCACCUUUUAAAAGAAUAAUAGUGAACGAAAUAAUUUAAAAUAAAAAAGUCAGGUCAAGGUGCAGCAAAUGAGAUGGAAAGAAAUGGGCUACAUUUUUUAUAAUAAAAAACACGGAAUAUUAUGUGAAAUAAAAUAUCAAGGAGGAUUUAGAAGUAAAAAGAAAAAAGAGUGUUCUUUUUAAACUGGCAAUAGAGCACGCACACACCGCCCGUCACCCUCUUCAAAAAAAUAUAAAAUAAAUAAUUAUUAAUAAGUAUAAGAAAAGGUAAGUCGUAACAUGGUAAGUCUACCGGAAGGUGGCCUUGGAUAU
rnacentral:rRNA from 1 species